AGUGAACGCUGGCGGUAGGCCUAACACAUGCAAGUCGAACGGCAGCACAGUAAGAGCUUGCUCUUACGGGUGGCGAGUGGCGGACGGGUGAGGAAUACAUCGGAAUCUACUUUUUCGUGGGGGAUAACGUGGGGAAACUUACGCUAAUACCGCAUACGACCUACGGGUGAAAGCAGGGGAUCUUCGGACCUUGCGCGAUUGAAUGAGCCGAUGUCGGACUAGCUAGUUGGCGGGGUAAAGGCCCACCAAGGCGACGAUCCGUAGCUGGUCUGAGAGGAUGAUCAGCCACACUGGAACUGAGACACGGUCCAGACUCCUACGGGAGGCAGCAGUGGGGAAUAUUGGACAAUGGGCGCAAGCCUGAUCCAGCCAUACCGCGUGGGUGAAGAAGGCCUUCGGGUUGUAAAGCCCUUUUGUUGGGAAAGAAAAGCAGCAGGUUAAUACCCCGCUGUUCUGACGGUACCCAAAGAAUAAGCACCGGCUAACUUCGUG
rnacentral:rRNA from 1 species